GGGGGCGGGGGGCGGGGGGGAGGGAAGGGAGGAACGCGGGGAGCGGAGGUGGUGCGCGAGCUAGGCCCCGGCAGGGUCGCGCGCGCGCUCCCGCCUUCCCUCCCGCGCUUUCCCACCCUCCUUUGAGGGAAGCCGGGAAAAUGGGCAACGAGCUGUUGCUGCCGCCGCCGCCGCCGCCGCCGCCGCCGCCUUCUGCCUUUCCCUAGAGAAGUCUUGUUUUGGAGAAGAACGUGUUUUUUAAGGUUUCAAAUUGCUACCCUGUUCCAUCUAUGGAUUACAUUGGACACAUUUCAAAUCAGCCUAUGCCUUUUAUGGGGAAACACCCUAAGCUAAGGUCAGAUAGGAGGAACCAUAUUUUAGUUCUGCCAAAUACAUGAUGUUUAAUGCAUAAGACAAAUGCAUAAGUUAUUAUUUAGCACAGAAGAGUAUUCAAACUUUUAUGUAUUGAUGUGACUGAUCUACUCUGGAGAGCUCUGUGGUUCAAUAAUCCCAUUUGUAAAAUGGAAACAAUAUAAUAACUGACUAUAUAUAUAUUUAUGUAUAUCACAUAUAUAUAUAUGUAAUUUAAAGUUUGCAAAGUAUUUAGUGGAUAUUAACAUUAGCUCUUUGAGAUAAGUUAUAGUUUUAUAUAUAUAUAUAUAAGAAAAUAUAUUUAUAUUUUAUAUAUGUCUUAUAUAUAAGAAAAUAAAUUUUCAUGCUUACAGAUGAGGAAACUAAGGCUUAGAGAGACUGUGACUUACCUAUGACCAUAUCUGAAUCUAAGUCCUAACUUAGAGUCAAGGAAUUCUUACAUUAUCUACUUCAUUUAUGAUGCUUAAAAACUUUAUGAAAAGUAUUGCCCAAAGAGUUAAAAAUUUUUAGAAUUGGAACAAACUGUAACAAUCCUUUAGUUCAGCUCCUUCAUUUAUAGAUUAGAAGACAGAAUCUCAGAAAGAUGUACUUGUUUAUGGUCAUAUGAUAAAAGUCAUCCCCAGGAUAUGGUUUACUCAAACAUUUAAAAUAAGACCAAAAAAGAAAAAUGAAAUGGAUGAUCUUAUAAAAUAGGUACUUAUUGUGUAUGUUUGACUGGUGGUAAAACUGACCCUGGCCAAUCACUUAACCUUUCAGUGUUGGGGACAGUUCUCCAAGUAGCAGCCAAGCCAAAAUGCAAAGUGCAGAUCUGAAGUAUUAGAAAAAGCUCCUCACUGAGACCUCUACACUGAUGAAAUCACCGUUCUCAUCCAAAAUUAAAUGACAAAA